UGUGAUUAGUCCGAGUCAUUUCGGAGCAGCUCUUGGAGCAGCCAAAAGUCAAUUUUGGAGCAGCAAAAAUAACUUUUGUAGCAUCAUUCUUAUUCGUACCAAUGCAGACAUUGUGAAGAUCAAUGUGUCAGCAUGUCCAACUAAAAGGCAAUGUCUACAUUGACUUCUCACUUACGUGCAACCCUUAGUUUGCAUCAAUUGCACUGCAGGAGGGAGUCCCUCAAACACAAAACUAGCGUUUCGUUGCGUGGAGAAGCACCAGACACGGUGAGAAGCCUCAGUCCAGCAGGUAGUCCUUGACCUGAACAAGAUCAUCCCGACUACCGACGCCUUAUGACUGGUACGAUGGUUGGAGUCAAACUGGAGGUGCUUCCAGCCAUUACGAGAACAGCUUGGCUUGGCUUGACUUGGCCUGACCGCUUGGUAGCAAAAGAAAAUUGGCUUG